rnacentral:rRNA from 1 species
CGAAUGGAUUAAGAGCUUGCUCUUAUGAAGUUAGCGGCGGACGGGUGAGUAACACGUGGGUAACCUGCCCAUAAGACUGGGAUAACUCCGGGAAACCGGGGCUAAUACCGGAUAACAUUUUGAACCGCAUGGUUCGAAAUUGAAAGGCGGCUUCGGCUGUCACUUAUGGAUGGACCCGCGUCGCAUUAGCUAGUUGGUGAGGUAACGGCUCACCAAGGCAACGAUGCGUAGCCGACCUGAGAGGGUGAUCGGCCACACUGGGACUGAGACACGGCCCAGACUCCUACGGGAGGCAGCAGUAGGGAAUCUUCCGCAAUGGACGAAAGUCUGACGGAGCAACGCCGCGUGAGUGAUGAAGGC